rnacentral:rRNA from 1 species
GCGUUGUUCGGAUUUAUUGGGCGUAAAGGGUGCGUAGGCGGUUUGGCAAGUCUUAUGUGAAAUCUAUGGGCUCAACCCAUAGUCUGCAUGAGAAACUACCGGGCUUGAGUAUUGGAGAGGUGAGUGGAAUUUCCGGUGUAGCGGUGAAAUGCGUAGAUAUCGGAAGGAACACCUGUGGCGAAAGCGGCUCACUGGACAAUAACUGACGCUGAUGCACGAAAGCUAG